AGGACAUGUUCUUCUGAUCACAGGUACAGAGAGAGGGAGAUGUGCUCCUGAUCACAGGUACAGAGAGAGAGAGGGAGAUGUGCUCCUGAUCACAGGUACAGAGAGAGGGAGAUGUGCUCCUGAUCACAGGUACAGAGAGAGAGGGGGAGAUGUGCUCCUGAUCACAGGUACAGAGGGCAGGAGAUGUGCUCCUGAUCACAGGUACAGAGAGAGAGAGGGAGAUGUGCUCCUGAUCACAGGUACAGAGAGUAGGAGAUGUUCUCCUGAUCACAGGUACAGAGAGAGGGAGAUGUGCUCCUGAUCACAGGUACAGAGGCCAGGUGAUGUGCACCUGAUCACAGGUACAGAGGGCAGAAGCAAAUAGGCAGCAUUUACAUUUAGUCAUUAAGCUUUUGUCCAAAGCGACGUACAAGGGAGAGAACAGUCAAGCUAAGAGCAAUAAAAAACAUGGUGUAACAAUAAAUACUACUUUACAUAAGAAUUAGAAAAACGACCUAGAAAGGAAAAAGAAGUGCAGGAAUGUAACUGCUAAAGUGCAAGUUAAGCGCUAGUCAGUUAGGAAGGGAGGUGCUCUCUGAAGAGUUGGGGCAGCAUCACCCUCUGAGCUUCCAGCUGAAUCAUUCAACAAUGAGCUUUUUAAAUUUUUUGAACUAGCCAGGGCUCCGGUGAGAGGACGUGUGUGGGGCUUUAGAUAACAAGUCUGUUUUUUUUUUUUUAUGGUUUUGAAAGUCAUUAGGGGAAGUUAUCAGUGGUUGAGCAAUUCUGUCAUUUCUUCUUUUUUCUCCAAACACCAUCUUUCUCUGAAUGGAUCUUCCAGGUGUGAGAGUCCACGAGGACAAAUGGAGGGGGGAAACCGUGCUGCAGUCGUCCUACUCCAGCAGACUGCUCAACCUGGGCCAGGUGUCCAGCAGCCUCAGUCCCACAGUGCCUCAGGCGGUGAACAGACGGACUCUCGGGGAACUGUGUGCUCAUCUGCGGGAGAGACGCCCCCUGCUGUUGUCCCUGCCUCAUUGCAGCCAUCAGGACCUAAGCACAAUUCCCUACGCAAAACUCAAAACCCUGCGCCCCGAUACCCUAGUCCACGCCGUGGUCCGGGUCACACACACCAACAUGGUGACAGGUACCACUUGAAUAUUCAUAAGUUGAUCCAACAUUACAGCAGCAAUGAACUAUGAGCAUCUUGUGCAAGAGUUGUUAAGAACAAAACUCAGCCGC
rnacentral:lncRNA from 1 species